rnacentral:rRNA from 1 species
AGUUGUAGAAUCACUGGUGAAUAAGGGGUGGGCAAGUUCUGGUGUCAGCCGCCGCGGUAAAACCAGCACCUCGAGUGGUCAGGAGGUUUAUUGGGCCUAAAGCAUCCGUAGCCGGUUGCAUAAGUUUUCGGUUAAAUCUAUGCGCUUAACGUAUAGGCCGCCGAAAAUACUGUGCAGCUAGGGAGUGGGAGAGGUACACGGUACUCGAUAGGAAGGGGUAAAAUCCUUUGAUCUAUUGAUGACCACCUGUGGCGAAGGCGGUGUACCAGAACACGUUCGACGGUGAGGGAUGAAAGCUGGGGGAGCAAACCGGAUUAGAUACCCGAGUAGUCCCAGCUGUAAACGAUGCAGACUCGGUGAUGCAUUGGCUUGUGGCCAAUGCAGCGCCGCAGGGAAGCCGUUAAGUCUGCCGCCUGGGAAGUACGUACGCAAGUAUGAAACUUAAAGGAAUUGGCGGGGGAGCACCACAAGGGGUGAAGCCUGCGGUUCAAUUGGAGUCAACGCCAGAAAUCUUACCUGGGGAGACAGCAGAAUGAAGGUCAAGCUGAAGACUUUACCAGACACGCUGAGAGGUGGUGCAUGGCCGUCGCCAGCUCGUGCCGUGAGAUGUCCUGUUAAGUCAGGUAACGAGCGAGACCCCUGCGUCUAGUUGCUACCAUUACUCUCUGGAGCAGUGGAGCGAAUUAGACGGACCGCCACAGUUAAUGUGGAGGAAGGAAGGGGCCACGGCAGGUCAGUAUGCCCCGAAACCCUAGGGCUACACGCGGGCUGCAAUGGUAUUGACAUGUGUUCCGAAUCCGAAAGGAGGAGGCAAUCAUCAAACAUAUCUCAGUUAUGACUGAGGGC